rnacentral:rRNA from 1 species
CCUACGGGUGGCAGCAGUGGGGAAUAUUGCACAAUGGGGGAAACCCUGAUGCAGCGACGCCGCGUGAGUGAAGAAGUAUUUCGGUACGUAAAGCUCUAUCAGCAGGGAAGAAAAAAAGUCCUUUGGACUUUGGACGGUACUUGACCAAGAAGCCCCGGCUAACUACGGGCCAGCAGCCGCGGGAAUACGGCGGGGGCAAGCGUCAUCCGGAUUUACUGGGUGUAAAGGGAGCGUAGGCGGCAGCGCAAGUCUGGAGUGAAAUGACGGGGCCCAACCCCGGAACUGCUUUGGAAACUGUGGAGCGGGAGUGCAGGAGAGGUAGGCGGAAUUCCUGGUGUAGCGGUGAAAUGCGUAGAUAUUAGGAAGAACCCCGGUGGCGAAGGCAGCUUACUGGACUGUAACUGACGUUGAGGCUCGAAAGCGUGGGGAGCAAACAGGAUUAGAUACCCCUGUAGUC